UGCAGAGAACUUCAGAGAUGGAUUGUUGCCUUCGGGAACUCUGACACAGGUGCUGCAUGGCUGUCGUCAGCUCGUGCGUGAGAUGUUGGGUUAAGUCCGUAACGAGCGCAACCCUUGUCCUAGUUACCAGCACGUUAUGGUGGGCACUCUAAGGAGACUGCCGGUGACAAACCGGAGGAAGUGGGGAUGACGUCAAGUCAUCAUGGCCCUUACGGCCUGGGCUACACACGUGCUACAAUGGUCGGUACAAAGGGUUGCCAAGCCGCGAGGUGGAGCUAAUCCCAUAAAACCGAUCGUAGUCCGGAUCGCAGUCUGCAACUCGACUGCGUGAAGUCGGAAUCGCUAGUAAUCGUGAAUCAGAAUGUCACGGUGAAUACGUUCCCGGGCCUU
rnacentral:rRNA from 1 species